rnacentral:snRNA from 1 species
CCAACUGCGCGCUAACCUAG